rnacentral:piRNA from 1 species
UACCAAUGGUGUGAAAGCUUCAGGCAGA